rnacentral:tRNA from 1 species
GUCAGUGUGGCCGAGUGGUUAAGGCGAUGCACUAGAAGAAGUAGAGUAUUCUACUGGACUGACCACAGUCUGGAUAUGCAUUGGGUUCGCCCGCACAUGUUCGAAUCAUGUCGCUGACG